rnacentral:rRNA from 1 species
CAGUCGCCGCGGGAAUACGGAGGGUGCAAGCGUUACUCGGAAUCACUGGGCGUAAAGGACGCGUAGGCGGAUUAUCAAGUCUCUUGUGAAAUCUAACGGCUUAACCGUUAAACUGCUUGGGAAACUGAUAAUCUAGAGUAAGGGAGAGGCAGAUGGAAUUCUUGGUGUAGGGGUAAAAUCCGUAGAGAUCAAGAAGAAUACCCAUUGCGAAAGCGAUCUGCUGGAACUUAACUGACGCUAAUGCGUGAAAGCGUGGGGAGCAAACAGGAUUAGAUACCCCCGUAGUCCCUGUCUCUUAUAA